rnacentral:rRNA from 1 species
UCAAGAAACUUCCACAAUGGGCGAAAGCCUGAUGGAGCGACGUCGCGUGAUGGACGAAGUGCUUCGGCACGUAAACAUCUUUUAUGUGGGAUGAAAUUAUUGACAGUACCACAUGAAUAAGGGGCUCCUAACUCUGUGCCAGCAGGAGCGGUAAUACAGAGGCCCCAAGCGUUAUCCGGAAUCACUGGGCGUAAAGGGUGUCGGGGCGGUUGUAUUAGUCGUUCGUAAAAUCUACGAGCUUAACUUGUAGGCGGCGAACGAAACGGUACGACUUGAGGUUUGGAGAGGUGCGUGGAACUCACGGUGUAGGGGUGAAAUCCGUUGAUAUCGUGGGGAACACCAAAGGCGAAGGCAGCGCACUGGCCAAAAUCUGACGCUCACACACGAAAGCUAGGGUAGCGAAGAGGAUUAGAUACCCACUAGUCCCUGAGCGGGCUGGCAAGGCGCAU